rnacentral:rRNA from 1 species
GACGAACGCUGGCGGCGUGCUUAACACAUGCAAGUCGAACGGAAAGGCCCUGCUUUUGUGGGGUGCUCGAGUGGCGAACGGGUGAGUAACACGUGAGUAACCUGCCCUUGACUUUGGGAUAACUUCAGGAAACUGGGGCUAAUACCGGAUAGUAGCUCCUGCUGCAUGGUGGGGGUUGGAAAGUUUCGGCGGUUGGGGAUGGACUCGCGGCUUAUCAGCUUGUUGGUGGGGUAGUGGCUUACCAAGGCUUUGACGGGUAGCCGGCCUGAGAGGGUGACCGGCAACAUUGGGACUGAGAUACGGGCCAGACUCCUACGGGAGGCAGCAGUGGGGAAUAUUGCACAAUGGGCGGAAGCCUGAUGAAGCAACGCCGCGUGCGGGAUGACGGCCUUCGGGUUGUAAACCGCUUUCGCCUGUGACGAAGCGUGAGUGACGGUAAUGGGUAAAGAAGCACCGGCUAACUACGUG